rnacentral:rRNA from 1 species
CGCGUAGGCGGUUUGGUAAGUCGGAUGUGAAAGCCCAGGGCUUAACCUUGGAAUUGCAUCCGAUACUGCUUGACUAGAGUCUGGUAGAGGGUAGGGGAAUUUCCGGUGUAGCGGUGAAAUGCGUAGAGAUCGGAAAGAACACCAGUGGCGAAGGCGCCUACCUGGACCAAGACUGACGCUGAGGUGCGAAAGCGUGGGGAGCAAACA